rnacentral:rRNA from 1 species
GUAGUCCACGCCGUAAACGAUGAUUACUAGGUGUGGGGGGAUUGACCCCUUCCGUGCCGGAGUUAACACAAUAAGUAAUCCACCUGGGGAGUACGACCGCAAGGUUGAAACUCAAAGGAAUUGACGGGGGCCCGCACAAGCAGUGGAGUAUGUGGUUUAAUUCGAAGCAACGCGAAGAACCUUACCAGGUCUUGACAUCGAGUGACGAACAUAGAGAUAUGUUCUUCCCUUCGGGGACACAAAGACAGGUGGUGCAUGGUUGUCGUCAGCUCGUGUCGUGAGAUGUUGGGUUAAGUCCCGCAACGAGCGCAACCCCUAUUAUUAGUUGCUACGCAAGAGCACUCUAAUGAGACUGCCGUUGACAAAACGGA